GCAUAUCAAUAAGCGGAGGAAAAGAAACCAACAGGGAUUGCCCUAGUAACGGCGAGUGAAGCGGCAACAGCUCAAAUUUGAAAUCUGGCCUCGGCCCGAGUUGUAAUUUGCAGAGGAUGUUUCUGGCGCGGUGCCUUCCGAGUUCCCUGGAACGGGACGCCACAGAGGGUGAGAGCCCCGUAUGGUUGGACACCAAGCCUGUGUGAAACUCCUUCGACGAGUCGAGUAGUUUGGGAAUGCUGCUCUAAAUGGGAGGUAAAUCUCUUCUAAAGCUAAAUACCGGCCAGAGACCGAUAGCGCACAAGUAGAGUGAUCGAAAGAUGAAAAGCACCUUGAAAAGGGGGUUAAACAGUACGUGAAAUUGUUGAAAGGGAAGCGCUCAUGACCAGACUUGUGCCGGGCGGUUCAUCCGGGGUUCUCCCCGGUGCACUCCGCCCGGUUCAGGCCAGCAUCGGUUCUCGUUGGGGGAUAAGAACGGUAGGAACGUGGCCCUCCCUCGGGAGGGUGUUAUAGCCUGCCGUACGAUACCCUGAUGGGGACCGAGGUUCGCGCUCCGCAAGGAUGCUGGCGUAAUGGUCAUCAGCGACCCGUCUUGAAACACGGACCAAGGAGUCGUCCAUUAGAGCGAGCGUUUGGGUGUAAAACCCGCACGCGUAAUGAAAGUGAAAUUAGGUGAGAGCUUCGGCGCAUCAUCGACCGAUCCUGAUGUUCUCGGAUGGAUUUGAGUAAGAGUUUUAACGGACGGACCCGAAAGACAGUGAACUAUGCUUGUAUAGGGUGAAGCCAGAGGAAACUCUGGUGGAGGCUCGCAGCGGUUCUGACGUGCAAAUCGAUCGUCAAAUAUGAGCAUGGGGGCGAAAGACUAAUCGAACUGUCUAGUAGCUGGUUACCGCCGAAG
rnacentral:rRNA from 1 species